AUGAACGCAUGCCAAAGGCGAUUUUUUCUGCCGAGCUUAAAGGAGCCCCCUUAAAAUGCUAUAAAGAUCAAAUCAGGUCCCAUUUUGUCCUCACCAGCAGAUGGCCUCUGAAAGAGCAGCGGGAGAGCUCUAGUGAAACAAAGUAGGGCCUUUGCCUUAGACAAAUUAAGACCUCCCCCACCCUCCAGGUCUUCGACUUUGCAUUAGAGGUGUCAAAAUAUGUAGGUCGCAUCUGGGUUUGCAUGGUUUUGUGGAAUACUGCACACGUCCUUAAUCUUUCAAACCAAAGACCUUAUGUCCUGUUGAAGUGAACAUAGAGUGGGGCAUGAGUUAGGUGACUUUCUGUUUGUGUUACUUUGAUGCCAAUAAUAAAUGAACAUUUUGACCUGCCAAUAAUAGGGACUGUCAUGACUACUGUACUUGAUAGCCUAUGCCAUGUAUUCACCUCUCCUUAUAAGAUUUCUAACUUAGGUUUAGUCUGUCUUGUAGAGAUGCCAUGAGUGUGUUUCCCAUAGAUCUGCUAUGUCUAUGUGCAAUCUUUUCACCUCUUUAAAACUGUUUUUUGUUGAAAAAAAGUCACCAGACCAGAACAUAUUGUACUGAAAAUCCAGGUUGUCUUUUUUCCUGUUCCUUUUUUUGUUUGGUGCAAGUUUUUAGUCCACUUGUCAAUUUCAUUAGAGCUUAAGCACCCAUUAGAGCAGGCAACUGUGUUGUGGUUGCCUAGGUUGAGGCUGUAGUUGAUCAGUGAUGCACAAAGAACUUUUCUAUCAUGAGGCAUCCAUACAACAGGCUAAUCAAGUUGGACCCAUAUUGUUGUCUCCCUUGUUGUUUUAGCAGUUUCUUCUCAGAGAAACAUUUUCUCUUAGAUGAAGGGAUCAUGAGUUGCCAGGGUGCCAUGAAGGGAUCAUGAGUUGCCAGUGUGCCAUGAAGGGAUCAUGAGUUGCCAGUGUGCCAUGAAGGGAUCAUGAGUUGCCAGGGUGCCAUGAAGGGAUCAUGAGUUGCCAGUGUGCCAUGAAGGGAUCAUGAGUUGCCAGGGUGCCAUGAAGGGAUCAUGAGUUGCCAGUGUGCCAUGAAGGGAUCAUGAGUUGCCAGGGUGCCAUGAAGGGAUCAUGAGUUGCCAGGGUGCCAUGAAGGGAUCAUGAGUUGCCAGGGUGCCAUGAAGGGAUCAUGAGUUGCCAGGGUGCCAUGAAGGGAUCAUGAGUUGCCAGGGUGCCAUGAAGGGAUCAUGAGUUGCCAGGGUGCCAUGAAGGGAUCAUGAGUUGCCAGUGUGCCAUGAAGGGAUCAUGAGUUGCCAGGGUGCCAUGAAGGGAUCAUGAGUUGCCAGGGUGCCAUGAAGGGAUCAUGAGUUGCCAGGGUGCCAUGAAGGGAUCAUGAGUUGCCAGGGUGCCAUGAAGGGAUCAUGAGUUGCCAGGGUGCCAUGAAGGGAUCAUGAGUUGCCAGGGUGCCAUGAAGGGAUCAUGAGUUGCCAGGGUGCCAUGAAGGGAUCAUGAGUUGCCAGUGUGCCAUGAAGGGAUCAUGAGUUGCCAGGGUGCCAUGAAGGGAUCAUGAGUUGCCAGGGUGCCAUGGUUUCUCUCUCAACUUUGAUGAGGUGAAGGAAUCUUACACAUUACAUUUGGUACCAACUCUAUUGCAGUAUCAUAGUUAAUUAUCCCAAUCUGAAUUUUCCUUCAGGGAUAAACUUCAUCUGCCUCAAACUCCCAAUAAUUCUCUGUCACUCUAAGAAGUUUCACUCUAAUAGGCACAAGUAGAUCAGGUGCUAGACUUUGUUGUCAGAGUUGGGGAGUAUAAUAUAGCUAAUGGCAGCUUAUCUGACACUCCUGGCUUUGACAACAUCUGAAAGCCUAAAGCCAUCUGUUUAAAAGCACUCUAUAUGUAUGUUUAAUGAGACCAAUCAAAAAGUGUCUGCUAACUGAUGUAUAGUGAGGUUCAUCUUUGCCUUUGUAUUUCACAGUUUCACAAAGGUGUCUAUAUGUGUAUCAACUAUUAGCAUUUAAAACACAUUUUUUUUUUAAAUGGAACUAGACCCAUUUUAUGGUAUUUUUAUGCUUUUUUUUUUUUAAUGUAGGUCUUUACUUAUUUAACAAAUGUCAAAGUAUGUAUACAUUUCUGUUGAGAAGUUGUGAAACCUACAAAACUAACAACUUAUUCAUUAAAUGUUACUAAAUUAUACAUACUAAAUUUCAAGCAUCUUUUUUUUUUAUUCACUAGUGAUAUUUCUUUUUUCAGUCUUUAGACUUGGAUAUAGAAACUAUCACAUAGAGACUAUCACAUAGAGACUCACAUGGAAACUCACAUGGAAACUAUCACAUAGAGACUAUCACAUAGAGACUAUCACUAUUCUAAUUCAAAUUUCUAUUUUAAUAAAUAAAACAAGAAAAACAUAAAAAACACUUAUUUUGAUAAAAGACAAUACCUCUUUAGACAACUUAGAGAGUGAGAACAAAUCCUGGUGACAUGAAUGUAUAGAUCUACUGCAUCUAAACCCAGUAAUAUUCCAAUGAUAGGCCUUUAAAUUUAGACUUGGACAAUGUCCAAAAUGUUCCUUGAACAUUAAUUUAUUAAAAUAUUGAAUAAAUGUGGAUUAUCUGAAGACAUACGAUCCAUUCAAGAUAAAUUGUUUCUAGUUCUCUAGCCAAAUUUAUUUCUUUUUAUAUCUGGAAAAAAUUAUACCAGUCAAAAUAGAGUUUUCCCAGUGUGAACACAGAGCUAGUAAUUCUUUUCCCAAUGAUGUAAAUCAACUGUCAUAUUAUUAGGACACUCCUUAGGGCUGUUUUCUACAACCAUGUUCACGUUUUUCCUAAAAGUUUCGGCAAAGGUACAAGUUGAAUAGAGGUAUUGCCAAAAAAUUGAAUACCAAAUAUUGCCACCAAAUUGGUUUUAUUUUGUCUUGGCAAUUAUAUACAUAUAAUUUAUUUUUUAUUUGUAUUUUGUAUAUAUGAUUUUAAACAGGCUUUUUGUGACAUUAGUUAACUAACAAAUCUUCUGUGAAAAAACCAACUCACUGUAGAUUGUUUCAAUACUUUACAAGUUGUUUAUCCACUACCUUCUGUCACUAACCUUAGACAAAAUAUGAAAUGAGCUACAUUGACAAACUGUCUAUAGCCAAGACAAAAAGUAUUUAAAGCCUUAGGAAUGAAAUUGUUCAGUUGGAGAUUUUGUACCUGCAGAGGGAAGAGAGAUAGCAGAAUACAGGAAAUGUCCUUGCCAUAUUUCUAUUUAUAGCUGAUUUGUUUGUUGUGUUCAUGCUUAUUUUGUAUUCUGCAGUUGACAAAUAAACAAAACUGUUGAUUUCAAUGUA